AACUCUCUUCUUCACCAUUUUAUCUUCUUGUUUUUCUAGCUACAUUGAAGAAAUAAACUAGACAUAUUGAGGGUUCGAGUGGUCUAGAAGAAUUACUUCAAAUUGUUGUAUCUUCGGAAAAAAAAUACCCGGUAGCGGACAAAAUUUCUUUUAUGGAUAUUGUGUUAAACACAUAUUUUAGUUUUCUCUUUUCUUAUUUGCUUUUGUAUAUUUCCUAUAAUCUUAAAACAAAUUCGUUUGUACGAAACGAAUAAAGAAAAAAAUAUGUUUUUUUUGGUGUUUUUCUACCACUCGUUUUUGUAGUUUGUGCUAUUGUUAGAUUUUGAUAGAAUUUUUUUUUAUGGUUUUCUUGGUUGAAUUUGGCAAAAACAACUUUGUUUAGUAGUUUUUCUUUAAAAUAACUUCAAUUUCAUGUAAAAGAACUUUAUAAAUCUGAAAACUGCAUCAAAUUUACUGAAAAACUGCAUUUAUAGUAGUUUUGUGUUGAAAAACAACUCAAAAUUUGUUGAAAACAACUUUGUUUUGUUAAAAACAACAUUCUUUUUGUUAAAAUAAAACAACAUUGUUUUGACAAAAACAACUUUAUUUAGUAUAAAACAACAUUAAAAUCAAUAAAACAACCCUGAAAUCUUAAAAAACAGCAUCAUGUUUGCUGAAAAACAAUCAUUUCUAUAGUUUUAGCUGGAAAACUAGAAAAUUUUUACAGUUUUACUGAAAAACUGCAACAGAUUAUGAAAAAACAAUAUCAUAUUUGCUGAAAAAAUGGUUUUUACAGUUUUGUUCUUGACUAAAAUUUUAGGUUUCAGGUUUCAUAAUUCAUGGUUUAAGAUUUAAGAUUUGAGUUUCCUGAGAUUGCAGAUUUUUCAGAAAUAGUUUGUUGAUUUUAGAAUUUAAGAUCAAUUUCAUUAUUUUUCUAUCAUAAAUCAAUUUACACUUCAAUUUACCAGGAAAAAUAGUAUCAGAUUUCUGAAAUCAAUUUAAGCAUCAGUUUUGCUUCAGAAUUUAAGAUUAGUUUUAGAUAUCAUGGUUUAAGCAUUAGUUUUGCUUCAGAUUCAAAAUCAGAUUUUGUUUCAGAUUCUUUUUGCAUUAGAAAUAAAGUUUCAUAAUUGUUGAAAUAUAGAUUUUGAAUUCUGUCCAAGAGAAAGAAAGAAAUAUUUUAUGGAAAUUAUAAGUCUAAACUCUUAUAUUUAGUGUAUAAACGAUUUUAUAGGUGACACCACCCGGAGUGGCUAUGAUUUCUUAAGUGAACUCUAUGUAUGCUAACUAUUCUGAAUGAUGGAUUGAUAUGGGUGCUACCUAUCAAAUGUGCUCAAAGAAGGAUUGGCUCAAGAACUUUAAACUAUGUAUAUUUUCUUUUUCUGUCAAUGUUGUGACAAAAUAUUAUUUGAAAUUGAGAUAAAUACUUGAAAGUUUGUGUUUAAUGUAUUCCAGAAAUGGUAUCACCCAUAAAAGAGAAAACACCUAAUGAUGUGUUGUUUGUUCAAGAGAUUUGGAAGAACUUAGUCCUUGGAUGGUUGUUGAACAAUCAUGGCUUUUGCUUGGUAUUUGAAUUCGAUAAGUUUGUAUUAACCAAAAAGGUAUGUUGUAGGCAAGAGCUAUGUGGAUGGUGAAAUGUUUAAAAUUCCAUGUAACGGCUAAGAAGCAUAAAAUCAAUGAAAUAAUUAAUUCUUC
rnacentral:lncRNA from 1 species